GACGAACGCUGGCGGCGUGCUUAACACAUGCAAGUCGAACGGAAAGGCCCUUCGGGGUACUCGAGUGGCGAACGGGUGAGUAACACGUGGGUGAUCUGCCCUGCACUUUGGGAUAAGCCUGGGAAACUGGGUCUAAUACCGAAUAUGACCAUGCGCCUCCUGGUGUGUGGUGGAAAGCUUUUGCGGUGUGGGAUGGGCCCGCGGCCUAUCAGCUUGUUGGUGGGGUAAUGGCCUACCAAGGCGACGACGGGUAGCCGGCCUGAGAGGGUGACCGGCCACACUGGGACUGAGAUACGGCCCAGACUCCUACGGGAGGCAGCAGUGGGGAAUAUUGCACAAUGGGCGCAAGCCUGAUGCAGCGACGCCGCGUGAGGGAUGACGGCCUUCGGGUUGUAAACCUCUUUCAGCACAGACGAAGCGCAAGUGACGGUAUGUGCAGAAGAAGGACCGGCCAACUACGUGCCAGCAGCCGCGGUAAUACGUAGGGUCCGAGCGUUGUCCGGAAUUACUGGGCGUAAAGAGCUCGUAGGUGGUUUGUCGCGUUGUUCGUGAAAACUCACAGCUUAACUGUGGGCGUGCGGGCGAUACGGGCAGACUUGAGUACUGCAGGGGAGACUGGAAUUCCUGGU
rnacentral:rRNA from 1 species